rnacentral:rRNA from 1 species
AGAAUCAACGCUGGCGGCGUGCCUAACACAUGCAAGUCGCACGAGAAAGCGGGAGCAAUCCUGUGAGUAAAGUGGCGUACGGGUGAGUAACACGUGAAUCAUCUACCUUCGAGUGCGGAAUAACUGAGAGAAAUCUUAGCUAAUACCGCAUAAUACCCACGGUCAAAGCAGCAAUGCGCUUGAAGAGGAGUUCGCGGCAGAUUAGUUAGUUGGCGGGGUAAUGGCCCACCAAGACGAUGAUCUGUA